rnacentral:rRNA from 1 species
UAUUAUUAAUAGUGUAAAUAUUUAAGACUAGGGUAGUAAUAGAUAAGGUCUUGAAACCCAAAGAAUUUGGCGGUGUUUUAGUCUUUUCAGAGGAAUCUGUCCCGUAAUCGAUAAUUCACGAUUGGGUUUACUUAAUUUUAAGGAUUUGUAUACCGCCGUCAUCAGAAUAUUUUUUUAGAAGGUAAUUUUCUUGAUAUUAAAUUAAAUAGGAUGUCAGGUCAAGGUGCAGUUGAUAAUUAAGAGGAGAUGGAUUACAAUAAUACAAAUUAUAUGGAAAUUAAUUUUUGAUGAAAAAUUGAAGGUGGAUUUGAUAGUAAUUAAGUUAAAAUUGUCUUGGUGAUUUUGCUCUAAAACAUGCACACAUCGCCCGUCGCUCUCAUUUUUUAAGUGAG